rnacentral:rRNA from 1 species
UACGUAGGCAGCGAGCGUUGUUCGGAGUUACUGGGCGUAAAGGGUGUGUAGGCGGUUCUUAAGUUUGGUGUGAAAUCUCCCGGCUCAACCGGGAGGGUGCGCCGAAUACUGAGGGACUAGAGUGCGGGAGAGGAGAGUGGAAUUCCCGGUGUAGCGGUGAAAUGCGCAGAUAUCGGGAAGAACACCCGUGGCGAAGGCGGCUCUCUGGGACGGUACUGGAACGCUGAGACGCGAAAGCGUGGGGAGCGAACAGG